CAGCAGCCGCGGGAAUACGAAGGGUGCAAGCGUUAAUCGGAAUUACUGGGCGUAAAGCGCGCGUAGGUGGUUCAUUAAGUUGGAUGUGAAAGCCCUGGGCUCAACCUGGGAACUGCAUCCAAAACUGGUGAGCUAGAGUACGGUAGAGGGUAGUGGAAUUUCCUGUGUAGCGGUGAAAUGCGUAGAUAUAGGAAGGAACACCAGUGGCGAAGGCGACUACCUGGACUGAUACUGACACUGAGGUGCGAAAGCGUGGGGAGCAAACAGGAUUAGAUACCCGCGAGUCCCUGUCUCUUAUACA
rnacentral:rRNA from 1 species